ACGCGCAGAACCUUACCAACCCUUGACAUCCUUGGACCGCUAGAGAGAUCUAGUUUUCUCGUAAGAGACCAAGUGACAGGUGCUGCAUGGCUGUCGUCAGCUCGUGUCGUGAGAUGUUCGGUUAAGUCCGGCAACGAGCGCAACCCACAUCUUUAGUUGCCAGCAGGUUAAGCUGGGCACUCUAGAGAAACUGCCCGUGAUAAGCGGGAGGAAGGUGUGGAUGACGUCAAGUCCUCAUGGCCCUUACGGGUUGGGCUACACACGUGCUACAAUGGCAUCAACAAUGGGUUAAUCCCUAAAAGAUGUCUCAGUUCGGAUUGGGGUCUGCAACUCGACCCCAUGAAGUCGGAAUCGCUAGUAAUCGCGUAACAGCAUGACGCGGUGAAUACGUUCCCGGGCCUUGUACACACCGCCCGUCACACCAUGGGAGUUGGAUCUACCCGAAGGCCGUGCGCCAACCCGUAAGGGGG
rnacentral:rRNA from 1 species